GAUGAACGCUGGCGGCGUGCUUAACACAUGCAAGUCGAACGAAGCACUCAUGCGUUUUCGGACAAAUGAGUGACUGAGUGGCGGGCGGGUGAGUAACGCGUGGGUAACCUGGCUCAUACAGGGGGAUAACAGCUGGAAACGGCUGCUAAUACCGCAUAAGCGCACAGUAUCGCAUGAUACGGUGUGAAAAACUCCGGUGGUAUGAGAUGGACCCGCGUCUGAUUAGCUAGUUGGUGAGGUAAUGGCCCACCAAGGCGACGAUCAGUAGCCGACCUGAGAGGGUGACCGGCCACAUUGGGACUGAGACACGGCCCAAACUCCUACGGGAGGCAGCAGUGGGGAAUAUUGCACAAUGGGCGAAAGCCUGAUGCAGCGACGCCGCGUGAGUGAAGAAGUAUUUCGGUAUGUAAAGCUCUGUCAGCAGGGAAGAUAAUGACGGUACCUGACUAAGAAGCCCCGGCUAACUUCGUGCCAGCCGCCGCUGUAAGAC
rnacentral:rRNA from 1 species